AUCACCCCAGCUCAGCAAAGUCAAAGGACGGCUCUGUCCCAUGUUCAACAAUGAGGCUUUAUUUGAAAGUCGUAAGUGAUAUAUUAUUACAGUCUUUCUCAUGAGGGAUGACGGGGCAAAUGUCCCUCCCCUUCAUUUAUAUUUAACAACCCAUGGGGCACAGCCAGCUGGCUUGGCACAACCUCAGCCUCUGGUGAGACUUGGCCACUUCUGCCCUAGAACUUGAGGCAGAAGCUUCAUGGACACUGCUCAUCCUGGGCUCCCCAUCUCAAGGAGAAGCUGAGCUGUUGGGUCAUAGAUGAGGGAGGUGGCUUUGGGAGAAGAUCGAAGCUGGCGUUUUCGAGCUGGCCCCCAAGAAGUUUGAAGCUCAUAACUAACAUAGCACCUGACACCUAACAGACGCGUAUUAAAUAUUUUAGAGUGAGCGACUGAAUGAAUCCCAAGGCCAGACCUUAUCUGCCAGCUGACCGGAUCCUACACGGAAGCAGACUUGCAUUCUCUCCCACACAGCACUCGGGCAGCUUGCUGUCCUUUGCCAACUUCUCCGCCGUUGUUGUUAAGUGAAAGAUGCUGGUGUCCAGUUUGCCCCGAGAUAGGAUAGAUGUCAAUGUGGUUUAUAUGGAUAAUGAUUUUGGGCAGGAACGUGGUCAGGGAGUCUGACUUUGCCACGUGAUUUCCCCUAGGCCGUUCUCCCUGGAGAUUUUUCUCGGACUCCAUUUCUAUACAGGCAAAUAUUAGAACAGGUUUGCUUUAGGCCUCCGUCGGGUUUAGAGAGUGAGUGAUGCCAAGAGGAGGCUGGUUUUUUUCUGGUGUCUCACUUAGAGGAGGAUAAUAUGCAGGUCAGCAGGGAACAUGGAAGAAACAUCAUCAACAGGAAGCAGACUUAGCCCAGGUCCUACCAUCAUUUUAGGCUUUGGAAGAGCUUUUCUACUUGCUGUUCUUUUCUGCAGAACCUGAGUGUCCUCUGGUGUUUUCAACCCAAGGUUGAGACAUCUGACGUGAGUUGACAAUUUUCUUUUACUUAUUUUUGUAUCCACAUGACUGUAAAAAAGCAAAUAGUGCUAAAUGGCUAUUUUUGAUAGAAACACACAGUAUUCAAACCUAAGGAUUAUGUUCUUUGGACAGACUGUAUUCCCAAGAUAUCGAAUGCCUUGGCCAUAAUAGCAGCUACUGCUACACAAAGCAGCAUACGCCACAUGUUUACCUUCAACCCUUGUCCAGUUUGUCUAUCUUGCUCCACACGAGAGCAGCUAUCCUAAAAUUCUGUGAAGGCAGUUGCCAGCUCAUAGAUAUAAUCACAGAGAGUAUGGAGAAGUAAGUCGCCUAAAAUCUUUUGGAGAAUCCCAGGGAGCUGUAAGAUGCACCGGCCUAGUUUCCAGUCCUUCUCAUGGUCCACAAUGACCUUGGUCUCUUGAGCAAUUUUCUGGAGCGUCUCUUCAUCAGUAUUGGCCAGAUGUGCAAUAGACCUGAUAUAUAUAUAUGUAGGGAGGUCCCCUGUAUUGUUUACUGAGAAUGUCACAUUUAACUAAAAAACAAAAACUUGUCUUAAUUUGUGUUAGGCUCUGAAGAUUGCCAAAUGAAAGGGAGAAAAUGGUGCCUUAGGACAAACAACCAUGGAAAUUUUCUGACACAGUCGACUUGUUUCUUGAUUGAUGGGCUUAUUUACUGGCAGCCUGUGGACAAUGCACCAGUCAGGACAUGGGGCCAUGUGGAGGGGCUGGAUUUGGAUUCAGUCCUCGGGGAUCUUACAGCUGAGUACAGCAAGUAAGACAUAGAUACGAGGGGCUAUUUUACAAGCCAGGACGCAGCAACGGGCCUUUAUAUAGAGGUAUAAGGUACCAUGGAGUCACAGAGGAAGAGGGCAAGGCUUUGUGCCGGGAGAGGCAGGGAUGGGCCACGGAAGAUGUGGGCCUUGCAGGUUGGUGGGUGGAUGUUCCAUGACAAAGUGAGAAAGCAAGGACUUGUGUUUUCAUUUGGCUUGAGUACAGAGUGUUUGACAAGGGUAGAGAGAGGGAGAGCCAGAGAGCGAGAAGCCUGGGGACGUGGAACUGGAGCUACUGGAUUAAGCCACCGCAGAGCCUGUCCUAUUCCUGUCCUCCCGGUUAUAUGAGAACGGAGCAGUUGUUAAUUCCAGUCCGGACUCUUCAUCAUUAGAGAAAUGAAAUAUUGGACAAAGCGGUAAAUUUGAAGAAGAAAGACAGAGAGUGGAAUCAUAGACCUUCAGAGCCGGGUGGAGGGCCUGACGGGCCCUGCGUGAGCAGGUGGGGGGGGCACGGCUGAUGCAGGCAGCUCGCACCUCCAGGCCCUGGACAGCCCCUGCGGGGAAGCCAGGGUCUCCCUACGUGCAGGUGGCGAGUUCCUCCGGAUUCGGCGUUCAACCGAACGACUGUCUUGGGCAGACUCUGGACCUUAGCGCAAAAAAGGGGCCUAGGGGACAGCAAUCAAGAAACCGAAAAGCAAAAUGACAAGUUCUUCGUGAUGGAACCACACACGACAAUCCCUCAGUGUUUCAGUUUGCACGUCCCGUGGCGCUACGGAAAUACGACACACUCUGGGAAUCCAGAGGAGCUCCCUACGCGACAUACCAGGGUGAUGCCUGCUGUCCCAUGAGUCACGACUGCCUUCAGGUCGGCCUCACGGAGAGCUGGAGCCAUAUGUGUUAAUGGCCUCCACUGUGUGCUUGGAGUUACGAUGGGUGAAUACCGACGACCCCAAGGACCUCUGAAAGAAACGCAGACGGACCAAGCCAGGCUUUGCCCUCCCCAGAAACCCAACCCCCUAAGCCCCAGGAGCCCGAUCUUCCCGGAUGGAGGGAUUUCGGAGGCCCGGACGAAGGGGAGGUGGAAGGUAAAGGUACCAGGAACGCAGGUGACCAGGAUGUGACUGGGAAGUUGGUCAUUGGUCUUUGGCCUGUGUUCACAUUUCUGCUUUGCGGCUUUGUAAGGCUGUUUGACCUCGAGCAGCCAGAACCCCUGGUGUCACCGCUUUCAGAUGCGUAAAGCAGGGAUCACUGUUCCUCAUGAGGGAGUCGCUGCGCCCAAGGCAGGAAGGAGCUCAGUAGCCACUACGGGGAGCUGCUUGCGUAGGAGGCCUAGACCCUGGCUCUCCACGUGAGGGCCCGCGGCCUGCUGCGGCUCAGGGAGGCCUAAGGGGCUGGCCCGGGCCGCCACCGGCUUAGGCUGUCCCAUGAGCUCAUGGCGCAGGCUGCGCUUACCGGGGUCACAGGGGGAAAUGACGUGCAUUGUAAAUCCCAGGAUUUAGGCAGGGGUCAUUCAUUUUUCACGUCGAUGUGUAUCAUAUUGAGCACGCAGUGGCCUCGUCAUCAGCACGUAUUGAUUUAAUGUGACUGGAAUGUGCAAGGCAGAGCUUCUCUCCCCCGACUGCGAGUCAGGGCUGGUUCUCGAGCAGCGCGUCCGCACGGUGGAGAAUAUGACAUCUGGAAAGGGAACAAGCAAUGGGUCUUCCCGAGAGCAAGUGAGAAAUGGGAUAUUCUUACAAACCCCGUGCUGUUAUACAAAGAAAAAAAGUAAACCCAGUAAACAUCUUAUUAACUCAACCAACACUAAUUUGAACUAGAAGUCUGAUGCAAAUUGAGCUGUAUUUACUUGGGCGACACGAAGCCUCUUCAAGAGGACCAAGCAUGUACUACCACUUUCGAAGCAAUUAUUUUUCAUACAAAGAUGCCUGGGUCCCCUGGGCGGCUCAGUCGUGGUGUCCAACUCUUGAUUUCAGCUCGGGUCAUGAUCCUGAGGUCCUGGGAUCGAGCAUCGUGUGGGGCUCACCGCCCAGAGCGAGUCUGCUUGUCCCUCUCCCUGCUUCUGUGCUUUCUCAACCCCUCUCUCAAUACAUACAUACAUAAAUAAAGGAAUGAAUAAGUAAAUAAAUCUUAAGGGAAAAAAUGGCUACUUGAACAUCAUUUUUAUUUAUCUCUACUUGGCAACACUCACCUGAGCUAAUUUGCAUUAGUGGAAGCAGAAAGUUAUAAACUGGAUUUAUAUGCUGGAUUUUUAAAAUCCUAAAAAUCUUGUUCACCUGGCUUUCAUUUUUUUUUCUGUUAAAAAGGGACAGAGCCUAAAAACAAUAUAUUUUUGAUCUGCUGAUGAGUAAAAACAAAGCUACAGACAUCUGUAGGGUAAAGCCAACUGAUUGAGCAGACGCCAGGCGAUUUUUCAGGUUUUUGUAAAGAUGACUUUGAUAAACUUUAUCAGUUUUUUUCUGGUUAGCUGGAGUGAUAGGUUUGUAGAUAAACUGUAAUUCAGAUGCUCAUUCGUACUUUAAUAAAACCUCUUGGUAUGUUAUGAUUGUCUUCUUGAGAAUUGAUUUCCUUACCGUGAAACAGUGAGCACUUCCUGUUUUAGGUCAAAUUUUAGCUGCCUUGAAACAAUUUAUUAGGAACAUUUUGGUUCUUCUAGGCAGAGGAAGGGAAUGAAUAAUUAAACACACACGCAGAUACAGAAGGCAAUAGAGAAAACAGAGGAACAGGGUAAAUAUGGAACAACACUGGGGUCCCCUGUUCUUGAAAUAUAAGAAAACGACAUUCUAGGUUUGAGUGUGGUUUUGAAGGAGCUCAAUCAAAGAUCGCCCUUAUCCUACUUAGCCCGUAAUCAUUUGUUUUGGCUUGCUGAUCGCAUUGCCACACGCAGGCCCGAGGGUUUACUGAAAGAAAGGGAUUUCCAGGAAAGGUGACCUCACCACAGAGGCAAGGAGGCCAGGAAGGACUUCAGGGCUGGGGCGCUGCGUUCACACAGGGGUUCCUGUAGGGACCUUCUUGUUGUGUCAAUAGGGCGGCCUUGCACCCGACUGGAAGCAAUGAACAAAGGCAGGGGACCGUGGCUGAGUCCUGUUCACUGCAACCUUUGGACAAAGCAGUUCAUUCUCAAGGCCUUGAUGCACGACGUGGCAGUUGGACUUAACAGGUGCCUGUUUCCCGCUCGAUGAUACGAUCCUGGGUGACUAGGCCAUCAGCGGGCCCAUCUCUGCUGCAAGAUGGGAGCUCAGCCCUGCACCGUGGUCUGCAGGCUGGCCCUCUGGCUCUUAACCCUGGGUCGGAGAAGAGAGGAGACGAUAAGUAGGGAGGCUUCCUAAGAGCUCAGCCCUCUAAAGUACUUAA